rnacentral:rRNA from 1 species
CCUACGGGUGGCAGCAGUGGGGAAUAUUGCGCAAUGGGCGAAAGCCUGACGCAGCGACGCCGCGUGAGGGAUGAAGGUCUUCGGAUCGUAAACCUCUGUCAGCAGGGAAGAACGGUCACUGUGCUAAUCAGCAGUGAAUUGACGGUACCUGCAAAGGAAGCACCGGCUAACUCCGUGCCAGCAGCCGCGGUAAUACGGAGGGUGCGAGCGUUAAUCGGAAUUACUGGGCGUAAAGCGCUCGUAGGCGGUAUGUCAAGUCAAGGGUGAAAUCCCCGGGCUCAACGUGGGAACUGCCUUUGAAACUGGCAAACUGGAGUGUGGGAGAGGAUAGUGGAAUUCCAGGUGUAGGAGUGAAAUGCGUAGAUAUCUGGAGGAACAUCAGUGGCGAAGGCGACUAUCUGGCACAUAACUGACGCUGAGGAGCGAAAGCGUGGGUAGCAAACAGGAUUAGAUACCCGUGUAGUC